rnacentral:lncRNA from 1 species
UUUCAAGAGUCGCGUUGCAGGGUUUGGGAGAAUUGCAAAUUUAGGGUUUUCAAUCAACGGGUUUCAGGGUGUCUCAAUCAGACCACAUUAUAGAUCGCCGGUUUCAGAUCAAUCAACUGGAUGUAGCCGAUAAUCACAGUAUAUUUGAAUCAACAGCUAUGGUUUGACUGUUUUUUAUGGUUAUGGUUGUUGUAGAUGCUUCUGUAGCGGAAGAAUUUGCUGAGGUGGCAACCAAGCCAUUGAAAGCCUUACCAUAGGUUACACAUGGUCAAACGUUUAUGGCAUCAGAGAAACCAGAAGGGUCCCAAUUCAGGUGAACCUACUGUACCCAAUGAAGUCAAGUCUAAGACCACCCGUAAUCGUUUAGAUUUGGGCGUUUUUAAGCCCAAGCACGCCCCCAAACGACGUUAUCACCACUACGCCCCUUUGAUGACUAGGAUUACACGUGGCGCAAAACGCCCUAGGGUGGGGCAUUAUUCACCCCCCAACGACUACGCAUGGUCUAAGCCACUUGCAGAGGAAAAAAUCUGUUGGUAAACAGCCUAAUCUGGCCUGUUUUGGCCCGCUACCCGAGCCUCCGAUUUUGACACCUAUACCUGUUUUUCUUUCACCUUGGCUUACUAUUGAUCAUGUUCUUGUAUGUCCGUUUACAUCUGUAACUGUACUCGACCCCUGUGAAGAUAAACAAUGUUUUUGUGUUCAUCCUAUCUCUCUCUCUGUAUCCAUCUCCAUGUGGUCAGUGUUACUGUAUGUAAAGUCAAAUGCUUUGGAACCCUU